rnacentral:misc_RNA from 1 species
AGGACUACUGGGGUAUCUAAUCCUGUUUGCUACCCACGCUUUCGUGCAUGAGCGUCAGUGUCGACCCAGGGGGCUGCCUUCGCCAUCGGUGUUCCUCCACAUCUCUACGCAUUUCACUGCUACACGUGGAAUUCCACCCCCCUCUGCCGCACUCAAGUCUUGCAGUCACAAACGCAGUUCCCAGGUUAAGCCCGGGGAUUUCACAUCUGUAUUACAAAACCGCCUGCGCACGCUUUACGCCCAGUAAUUCCGAUUAACGCUCGCACCCUACGUAUUACCGCGGCUGCUGACAC